rnacentral:rRNA from 1 species
GGACCAAGGAGUCUAGCAUGUGCGCGAGUCAUUGGGACAAUUGAAACCUAAAGGCGAAAUGAAAGUGAAGGCCCGUCCAGCACGGGCCGAGGGAAGAUGGGUGGCUCGCAGAGGCCGCCUCGCAUUCCCGGGGCGUCUCGUUCUCAUCGCGAGAAGAGGCGCACCAAGAGCGUACACGCUGGGACCCGAAAGAUGGUGAACUAUGCCUGGUCAGGACGAAGUCAGGGGAAACCCUGAUGGAGGUCCGUAGCGAUUCUGACGUGCAAAUCGAUCGUCGGAACUGGGUAUAGGGGCGAAAGACUAAUCGAACCAUCUAGUAGCUGGUUCCCUCCGAAGUUUCCCUCAGGAUAGCUGGCGCUCGUUGCGUACGAGUCUCAUCCGGUAAAGCGAAUGAUUAGAGGCAUUGGGGUCGAAACGGCCUCAACCUAUUCUCAAACUUUAAAUGGGUGAGAUCUCCGGCUUGCUCGAACUGUUGAAGCCGCGAGAGACGGAUCAGAGUGCCAAGUGGGCCAUUUUUGGUAAGCAGAACUGGCGCUGUGGGAUGAACCAAACGCAGAGUUAAAGCGCCUAAAUCGACGCUUAUGGGAUACCAUGAAAGGCGUUGGUAACUUAAGACAGCAGGACGGUGGCCAUGGAAGUCGGA